rnacentral:rRNA from 1 species
AUGGGCGUGAUGGGCAGGCUCAAGAUCUUCGUCGUCAAGGAGCCCGUCGUCGCCGCCUCCUGCCUCAUCGCCGGAUUCGGUCUAUUUCUUCCAGCGGUUGUUAGGCCAAUGUUGGAUUCUUGGGAGACUGAGAAAAAUGCCAAAACCCCAGUUGAACUAAAAGAUGUGGUCGCAGGUGUCACUGGCAAGAAAGCUUAG